GUAGUACUCCCUCCGUCCGUAAAUACUUGUCAUCAAAAUGAAUAAAAGGGGAUGUAUCUAGAUGUAUAUUAGUUCUAGAUACAUCUUUUUUAUCCAUUUUGAUGACAAGUAUUUUUGGACGGAGGGAGUACUUG
rnacentral:pre_miRNA from 1 species